UAGAUAGAUAGAUAGAUAGAUAGAUAGAUAGAUAGAUAGAUAGAUAGAUAGAUAGAUAGAUAGAUGUCGUGUGACUAACAGGAUUCUCUGAUGAUCCAGUAUAGUGAGAGAAAGAAGAGGUCUGAGCCCUAUCCUUCCAGGUACUCCAGGCUGAGGCCAGGAGAUGGAGAGACACCACCCAAAAGACAACAAGAGAACAGUUUAAGUAAGACUAACAAUGAGGUUGUCAAGUGAGGUCCUUGGAAUGUUUAUAGGAAGGAGGUAGGAAGAAUUAGGUAUGUGCUUCGAGAGAAUGGGAGGCAUCUAUAACCACAAUAUAAUCACAGAUCAGAUAUAUUCAUAACUUCUUUGAGGAAUUUUGUUGGCAAGAGACACACACGCCACAGCAAAUAUGUGCCACUCAGAAAAUAAAUUUCAGCCAGACUAUGCUGGCACAUACCUUUAGUCCCAGCACUUGGGAGGCAGAGCCAGGAGGACCUCUUGAGUUCAGGUCAGCCUACUCUACUCUAUAAGAGUGAGUUCCAGGACAGCCAGGGCUACACUGAGAAACCCUACUACAAAAACAAACAAACAAACAAACCAAAAUCAACCAAACAAAUAAACAACAAACAACAAUAAAACCGAAGUUUCAGGAGUCAGUUCUCUCUUUUUGUUGUGGGCUCCAUGGGUCAAAUUCAUGACAUUAGGCCAUGGUGACAAAUGCUUUUACUUGCUGAGCCAUUCCAAAGCCUUGUCUUUAUUUCUAAAUGAAGGAAAUAAGAUGCGUUUUAGCAAUGGCCCAGCAGAUGCAAUAGGAGAGCGAGGUUUGACUUUAGUGCCCGAAUGGGAAGACUGACCUGGCUUGGUUGGGAGCCUAACUGUCCAUCCAAAGUUUAAUAAAGAACUAAUGCUGGUACUGGUGAGUCCGAUGUAUGAGAGUGAGAUUUGGAGAUUUAAGGCGCAUCAGUGUUUGGACGAAAUGGAAAGUAACUGAAUGAUAAGAAGCCAGCAUAUUAAGGAGACAAGGGAAGGAUGCAGGAGUUGUUGAAGAGAGCAAAACGAGGAGGGAUAGGGAGGCAGAGGCAGGCGGAUUUCUGAGUUUGAGGCCAGCCUGGUCUACAGAGUGAGUUCCAGGACAGCCAGGGCUACACAGAGAAACCCUGUCUACAAAAAAAACCAAAAGAAGGAGAAGGAGAAGGAGGGGAGGGGGGAAGAGGCGGGGGAGGGGGGAGGAGGCGGGGGAGGGGGAGGAAGAAGAGGGAUGGAGUAAGGCGACAAACCAAGGAUGGAAAGCUUCCCUGUACUCUUUCUUGUGAGUAAAGUGUAUGUUACUUCGUGGCACUGGGGCUCAAACUCGGGGGAUGGGAGCGGGGUAGGGCUCAGGUCUGAUAGGAAGGUGCUCUUCCUCUGACCUCCUCGCUUUGAAACACAGUGUGGCCAGUGUCAAGACUGGUAGGAACUGUACCACGCAUGCGUUUAGCGCCAGGCCAGCCAGCAGAAUUGGGCUUCUCGCAGGCACCUUGUGGAAGGGCAGAUCGUUCUACCUAAUUUAACCAGGAGUGACAGGUACUUUUUGCCAGCACCACAGUGUAAUGAGAGAAGAGCCAGGGAUUGGAGGAGCUUAGAGAGGUACUCACGGGUGGAACAUAGAAUCUGAGCAGAGUAAAGAGAAAACAGGGCUCUUGAGACCGGUGAGGGUACCGACCCUGAGUCAGGACCCACACUGUAGAGACAGUGAGUCCUGGUGGGAUCAGAAUAUAUACAGCUUUGUCCUUCAUAAAUCUCCCCAGAUACUUCCUUGUUGGGCAGGGGAGAUGGUUCAAGCAGGGGGAAAAGAAAAGCACCUGCCAUCUUCAGUUUGAUACCCGUGGAAGGAGAAAAACAAUUUCCCAACAGUUAUUCCCAGACUUAUACAUGUCGGAUUCAUGUACCCUCACUUACAUCACACAAAAUAAUAACACUUGCCAGUACAUUUUAGUGUAAAUUGUUAUUUUAUUGUCAUUGAUUUAAGACAGAGUCUCCCUCCGUAGCUCAGGCUAGCCUUGAAUAACGAUGAUGAAGGUAAUAAGACACACACACACACAGGCACUCACACACCUCGAAGAGCUCACAUGCAUUUUUUUCUUCUUCCUUACCGUGCACUAGGAUGGCGACCCUUCCCCCAUGCACACCUGGGUGACUCUCAGUGGUUCUUCAGAGGUUUUGGAGUAAAGACAGUGUCCCCAAGAGACCAGGAUAAGAUGAAAAGCUAGGGAAGGAGAAAGCAGGAGGGAAAGUCUUUUAGAGAGAAAAACAAUUCAACCUAAGGAUUUAGUGCAUGGAUGCUGUUAAGAAAUGUCCUUGUGGGAAAGGUGUGGUGGGAACAUGACAAUCACUUCACUGGGGACUGUGGCUCUCCUAGGCUGACCAGUGCUUUUGUGUGUCGACCACAAGGUGGGUAUUUACCUAAAGCUUAUCCUGCAGGAAUUCUCCUAUUUGUGGAUUAAGUCAGCUUCCUAUCGCUGGCUCUCUGGUCAUUAACCAAGUGUGGACUUUUGAAUCAGAAGCAGGCCCUUUAAUCAGUCUGGACUGGCCUUUCAGUGUACAUGUGAUAGAGCUGAGCCCUAGCAAGGUGAAGCCUGCUCUUUCUACGUCAGUGCCUUAAUUCUGGGGCUGUGUUCCUGCCUCAGGCUGUGGUCACAGCACCGUCCCAUGUUUCUGUUGAAGAUCUGCGUCUUAUUCUGAAUUAAAAGCUCUUGGAAUCUUCCUUGCUUUAAAGUUAAACUGCUUCUCUCAUGGCUCAGGAAACUGGAACGCUGGAACGCAGGAAGUGCAACAGGGAGAUUUUUGGGUGUUUUGAAAAGUAUCUGAUACACAUACACGUAUACGUGUACAUGUACACACACGCACACUCGCUCACACACUGUGCGUGUGUGUACACCCCUCCUUCCACUAUGUGGGUCUUCAGGCUUGGCACAGCAUCUUUCCCAGACCCUUUGCUCUUUCUGACUUUUGAAAGAAGUAUUUAUGUGUUUGAUGUGCAUUAGUGCUUUACCUAAGUGUGUGCCUAUGUACCAUUUGCAUGCCUGGUGUCUGUAGAGACCAGGAGAAGGUAUCGUAGCCCCUGAAGCUGGAGUUAUAGGCAAUUGUCAGACCCAUAAGUAGGUAAUGGGAAUUCAACCUCUGAAACAAAACAAAACAAAACAAAAAACAAAAAACAAAAACCAGCAAGGGCUCUUAACUCUGUCCAACCUCACACCGGUAGUUCAGGCUGGCCUUGAACUUGAGAUCCUCCUGCCUCCAUUUAUUUCCCUUAGAACUCUACCAGAGAUCAUUUCCAUGGCUGGCCUGGCUUGUUUCUCAAAGUGGAUAUAAACUAUACUCAAGGAAGUGAGUAUGUAGCUGAGCUGCAGAAUACUCACGGCCACAAGGCCCUCGGUUCUAGACUCAGUCCUAGAAACUAAAGUAAAUGUUACCCAUAAAAAGGAAUUGACAGAAUGCUUGCCUGCUGUGCAUGAAGCAUUGGGUUCAAUCUUCUAUCACAUAAACCAACAUGGUGGCCCAAAUUUGCAAUCCCAGCACUCAGGGGUAAGGGAGGAAGGAUCAGGAUCGACCUGGGAUGCAGUGUCUCGACAGAAGGUCAGGUUGGGGAUGAGGAAAGAUGUUCAUUUCUCUUGGAAUAACUUUUAUACAAGAAAAUUGAACCUGGAGUGGUUGUUCGUGCCUGUAAUUUUAGCAUUAAGAGGCCGAGGCAGGAGAACAUCUGUGAGUUGGAGGGCAACAUAGUGAGUUUCAGUACACCAUGGGCUAGAGAGACUAUUAACUAUCUGGACUAUAUUAAAAAACAAAAACAAUAACAAAAACAAAAACAAAAACAAAAACAAAAAACCAACAAGCUGGAUUUGUUGCUGCACAUCUUUAUUUAGUCCCGGGGCUCGGGAAGGAAAGUCAGGAAGAUCUCUGAGUUCGACGAGACCAGCCUGGUUCUAAAGAGUGAAUUCCAGGACAGUCAGGGCUAGACAGAGAAACAUACAAAAACUAAAAACAAAAACGAAACAAAACCUCCAAGCAACCAAAAAGGAAAGAGGGGGAGGGACAGAGUAGUAGGUGAACUACUAUAGAGCCUAGCUAAUGGCUCAGGCUAUCCCUGUGUGGUCACUUCAACUGCAUAGUGUUCCCUGUGUACCUACUAUGUUAGUUAGUGAUAUGGUCUUUGGUAGAUUAUUUAACUAAUUUGACUUUUUUUUUUUUUUUACACUGGAAAUGGAACUCAGGACCUCCUACCUUCUAGACAAGCAUUAUACCAGUAAACUAUAUCCCCAUGACUGUAUUAUUUUCUGGCAAAAACAUAGGAUUAUUAUUUUUGCCCAGAGAGUCCUCUACUUGAAAAAUAUUCAAUUUGACGGACACGCAAAAGUAUUUGGCAUAUAACAGGUGCUUAAUAAAUGUGUUUGGCAUAUAACAGGUGCUUAAUAAAUGCGUUUGGCAUAUAACAGGUGCUUAGUAAAUGCUGCUUACUCUUUUUACCCUUCAUGCCAAGGCUCCAGAGGUUUAAAAGUUCAUUUGUAGGUUUUGAGCUGUUCAGAGCUGCAACAGUAAGGCCGAGGUGGUUAUGAUUAGAGCCAUUUGAUAUUGUGUAUUCAAUUUUGUAAUGUAACCUGAUAUCAGCAGCCAAGAUCUUUGUCCUGAAGGGAUUUCAAUAGUCAGCAAAGUGGGCUGAUUUAACAGCCGUUAAUUCUGAGAGUAUGUUCAAGUUCAAAGUCUGUCUGUUUUAAAUGUAAAUUGCUCUUUUUCAUGUAUUUUGUAUUGGAAUUUAGGAACAAAUGCUGUCACCUCUCUUUCUCUUUGCAUGGGAUCGCAGGCGCUUUUAUUAUCACAGAGCCCUAUUAUUGUGAUACCUCACACAGGGAAUGCACACUCUGACAUUAGGCACCAAAUUGCUGGAAUAUCCUGUGUUUUCUAUUCAUUAAAGCCCCAAAGUACUAUGUGCAAAUUCCCUUACUUUAAUUACACACCUCAGGGAUACACAAGCCAAAAAAAAAAAAAAAAAAAAAAAAAAAAAAAAAAAAAUGGAGGCAGGCAGACAAAAAGCCAGGUCUUUGCCAAAAAACCCCCAGCCCCUAAACUGGUAAACACUUAUUUUCAGCGGAGAUAUCUGCUAUUAAUUCCUAUAGUGACUUUCCCAGCUGAAAUAAUGAGCUCUCAGAGCACAAACAGGAGCAGCAGGCAGCCGGCCCAUCUCCUAUUUGCGUGUUUGUUUCUCAGCAGUUGAAGAACGUUUGUGUAUUUCCCCAGUGCGGAGGCUUCAGGUGUCUCUGUUUUCCAAAGAGCCGGUAGAUUGAUUGGUGCCCUGAGAAGUAAGGGGAGGUGUAAGGAGGGGGGGCACCAAACCAAACUGUUUAUUAGGGCCCAGGAGCAAAGUGUCUCUAUCUACCUUAUCAACUUACUGAAUUUACUGGGGAAAAAAAAUCAGAUGUAGAAGAGAGAAUGUGAGAUCUUUUAGGGAACUUUCAGGAAUUUUCUGGAGGAUAAUUUAACAUUUUGUUUUGUUUUUGAACUUGUGCUUGGGAACCAAAGCACUGAACUAAACUCUCAACACCCCAAACUAACAGAAAUUUAUUCUAAACUAAUGAAUUAAAAAAAAAAAGUAUUGCUCCAUUAAGCAGAUUAGGCAAUAAAACAUAUUAGAAAGAUUGAAGUGCCCCCCCCCUGCCGCCCCAAACCCGGUCAGGAUUUUUUUUUUUAAAUUCUGUGUAAUUACAAGCUUUGGAAUGUAGGCAAUAAGAAAAAAAAAUAGUCCCCCCCACCACACACACACACACACACCACACACUAGACAAAUUUGACAUUUGACAAAGACCAGGAUAAUUCACAUGUUCACUCAGUUUCUUACAUGUGUGUAAAGCUUAGACUAAGAGGUACUUGGCGUAGAGAAGCACCCAGAAAGGCUUCCUGGAGAGCAAAGGAGAAACAGUUAAACCAACACGUGAGCCAGCAAAGUCAAUAUAUUGAUUAAUUCCUAUGACCACAGAGCUAUCUACUUAACAGUCAAUUAACCAUUUAACAUACUUCUUGAUACAAAAGAAGUUAAAAAGAUAUAAUCAAUAAUUGCAGGUUUAAUUGUCCUUUAGUGUAAUCGUGGAUACAGGUUUUAAUCUAUUGUCAAAGAAUGAAGUAUUUACCAUUUUAAUGAAAGUGUGACUUUGAUUACCGCCAAAACAAGAGAAAAAGUUGCUUGUCUUCACAGCGUUUAAAAAAAAAAAAAUCAAGGUUUAACCACGUCUGAACCUUUCUUCCUAAAUGAAAUUUUUAGCAGAUACAUGAUUUUUUUUAGCAAUGAAUAAAUGAAUAACAUGUAUAAGAAUUUUUUUUGUUCCAUAAGCAGCAGCAAUGCCCUAUUAACUUUGACAGACAACUUGGCAUUCGCCGUUUUAAAAUCCAACGUGGGAUAAAGCUAUGCAUUACUAGUCUCCCUACAUUUUUGUCAAGAGAUGAACAUUUUGCCAGAUUUUUAAUAACAGGCCGGGAGCUCUGUCAGUCAGUUUGUUUAGCCCCUGCAAGGUUUCGCCUGUGUCUGUCUACCACCCCACUGGGUGGAGCCCCGCCUGUCCCAGCUCCCUGCACUCCUCCCCUGCAAUUACGCAAAGUCAACAGCAAUCACUCCCACCGCCUUGAGCUACCUGCACUAUCAACAGUGCGGAUUCCAGGCGGACAAGCUUUGUUUGUCUCUGCCCCAAUUAGGACUUUUUUUCUUCUUCUUCUUCUUUCCCCUGCCCUGGUAAUUUGGCACCAACGCCCUGGGUGGACCAGAUAACUCUUUUAAAAAAGCGCGUUCAAGUCAUUCUUCGGCCCAUCCCCCGCUCCUGGCCCAACCCAAUUAAUUCUUGCUCCGUCCUCUUUUCACUACUUCCUAUACCGGCACCCCCACCCCCCAAUCCGAACACCCACCCUUUCCCCCAAAAGGGACUCUUAGGAAGAAAUUGAAAUCUGGCAGAAGGCAAGUGCAGCGGCUAACUGCUAACUAGUUACCAUGCCGACUGGAGCCUGUGCUGAGGAAUGCAGGCUGCCACACCGAACUCAAUGAGAAGAGGAGAAAAUGUGCAAGCAGCACUCCUUUGGUCGUGAUGCUGGGGAAUCCGAGACAGGGCUGUUGAUGUUUAUCUACAGAUUAAACAUUUAAAUUGUGGGUGUAUGUAUAUUAUACCAUCACCUCUAGACACUCAGAAGAAGAGGAUUUCAGCUUACGAAGCCUUCUGUCUUACCAGGGCUUGUCUUUGCUCGUGAUACUGUGUCAGGAAGCAGAAGGCCUCACACUGCUCAUUGACUGGGUGACUCACAGUUAUGGAGAAAGGACUAGAGCUGCAGUGCAAAGACUAUGCACCACUCCACCAGCUCGACCACACCACUGAGCUCCUUAUGUGCCCUGCAAAAGAACACUCAAUUCUAAGGCCAAGCAAACCAGCCCGAGGACCUGAAUUUGGGCCCCAAUACUCAGGUAAAAGCCAGGCACAGAGGUGAGCAACUAUGUCCCAGAGCUGUGGUUCCCUGAGUAGUCAGUACAGCCAGCUGGUAAGCUCCAAGUUCAGUGCCUCAAAAAAAAAUGUGGGGACUCAUAGAGGAAGAUGCCACCUUAGCGACUGGCCUCCACACGUGUGUCUUCCUUAGGUUUCUAUUGCUGUCAUAAAAAUGAUGAUCAAAAGCAACAUAAAAUAAAUAAAUAAAUAAAUACAUACAUACAUACAUACAUACAUACAUAUUUAAAUUUUUUUUAAAAGGACCACUUAGGGAAGAAAGAGUUAUUUCAGCUUAUUGCUUGUAGUAAGCCCAUCCAUGAGAGAACUCAGGGCAGGAAUUCAAGGCAAGAGGCUGAAGGCAGGGACUAAAGAAGAGACCACGAAGGAGUGAUGCUCACUGACUCUUUCAGUUUGCUGUCUCCUGCCCUGGGACCUCCCUUUCCGCUAUGGGCUGGAUCCUUCCACACCAAUCAUCAGUGAAGGAAACACGCUACGGGCCAGUCUGAUGGAUGCAUCUACUCAAAUGAGUUUCCAUCUUCUCAGAUGAUUCUUGCUUUUGUCAUGCUGACAAAAACAAACAAGCAAACAACAACAAAACUGCAUUGCCUAUACAUGUGUAUCCACACGCACACACACAAACACGUAUGUGUUUAAAAAAAGAACUUUAGUUUUUAAAAAAUGGAAUUAAAAAAACAAAAGCAACAACAAACCAUACCUGGGUCCAUGAUGGUGUCUUUUUUACAUCCACUUUUUUUUUUUUUUUUUACCAAGUGAACAUUCCGUCCUUUACUCCGCUGUAGGGUCUGAUGAAUGAGAGAAUGGCUUCAGCAGCAGUGUGUUGUCAUAGCCGUUGGCUGUUGAAGACUAGCUUCUUUGAGUUCACUUUUGAGGCAGGACACAAUGGUAGCUAUCUCCUUCUUAGAUCCCAUUUCUCUUAGCAUGCUUUCUUCUCUGUUUCCUCCCUUGAGGCUAACCAUGAGCUGUAUGAUCGGCUUCUCUUUUGGUAGCUUGCAGCCAGUGAAGUUGCUCUUGAAGUACUGGCAAUCUUCUUGCCUCAGCCUCUGGAGUGCUGGGCCUAUGGGUGUGUACCAGCUUCUGGAGUGCUGGGCCUAUGGGUGAGUGCCAGCCUUUGGAGUACUGGGCCUACGGGUGAGUGCCACCCUCUGGAGUGCUGGGCCUAUGGUGUGCUCUACCCUCUGCAGUGCUGGGCCUAUAGGUGUGUGCCACCCUCUGGAGUGCUGAGCCUAUGGUGUGCUCUACCCUCUGGAGUGCUGGGCCUAUGGGUGUGUGCCAGCCUCUGGAGUGCAGAGCCUAUGGUGUGCUCUUCUCUCUGCAGUGCUGGGCCUAUGGGUGUGUGCCACCCUCUGGAGUGCUGGGCCUAUAGGUGUGUGCCAGCCUCUGGAGUGCUGGGCCUAUGGUGUGCUCUACCCUCUGGAGUGCUGGGCCUAUGGGUGUGUGCCAGCCUCUGGAGUGCAGAGCCUAUAGGUGUGUGCCAGCCUCUGGAGUGCUGGGCCUAUGGUGUGCUCUUCUCUCUGUAGUGCUGGGCCUAUGGGUGUGUGCCACCCUCUGGAGUGCUGGGCCUAUAGGUGUGUGCCAGCCUCUGGAGUGCUGGGCCUAUGGUGUGCUCUACCCUCUGGAGUGCUGGGCCUAUGGGUGUGUGCCAGCCUCUGGAGUGCUGAGCCUAUGGUGUGCUCUACUCUCUGCAGUGCUGGGCCUAUGGGUGUGUGCCGGCAUCUGAGCCGUCUUCUUGGCCAUUCAUUAUGUUUUUAAUGACUCUUGAAAAUAUGGUGUAAAGUGGUUCAGUGCUAGCCUCUGCUACUUAUCAACUUGGAAGCCAACUGCGUCUCCAUGAGACACUGCAUAGUGCAGGGGUUGAAAAGAGAAUGGGCCCUGUAGGCAGGCUCCCAUGCUUAAAGGCUUCGGUGGCCUUGUUGGAUGAGGUGUGUCACUGGGGGCCUGCUUUGAGAGUUCAGAGGAUUUGUGUCCUUCCUAGUGUGCUCUCUGUUUUUUGGUUGUAGUUUAAGAUGUGAGCUCUUAACCCUGCCCUGCUCUGCCCUGUCUCUUGCCUGCUCCCUGCCUACACCUCUGCUUCACAUCGUGGAGCAGUGUACUUAUGUAUAAUAAUAAAUAAGUACAGUGUACUU